rnacentral:lncRNA from 1 species
UUUAGGGUUUUCUCAAAACGCGAAUCUGCAAUUUUGUAGAUCUAACAGUUACUUGCUUAGCAGGAGAGCUAAGAAAAUUGCAGUGGAUGGCAGAGAUUAUGUUGAUUUCUCCUAUCCUGCACCACCUGUUGGAAUUGAAGCUACACCAAAUAAAGCCGAUGAGAAAUUUGCAUCAAGAAAAUCGAUUGAGGAAGAGGUAAUGGUAUCUUUGAGAAAUGAGAGAUCACUAUUAUUGGAAAAUGUGGUAUGGGCGGAGUGGGUAAAAUAACACUUGUAUGGCUUAAAAUUCACGUAGAAGCUUCGGAAAUAUUCUUGUAAUCGCUGAAUACAAGUUUUAUGUAAAUAAACUUUCACAACGGAAAUAGAAGUAAACUGAAGGAAGAUAGCCUGCACAAUGAGCAAUAGCUAUUCAUCUAGCAACAUUUGUAGUCUCAUCUCGAGGCGAAUUAUGUUUUAAUUUGCCAUGCGUAUACGAGGCUCAUCGUACCCCGAUGCCUCCAAAAGGCUCUUAAGGCAAAUCGGCGUUGACCAGCUAUUCUCGGAAUUUGUAAUUGCAUAAAACUUCCGAACCAAUUUUGUAAUCACAACCAAUUUUGUAAUCACAUAGAAUUCUCUUACCUUUUGGUAAGGAGACCAUUCCACGAGGCAAGGUGAUAUGCCAAUGUUCUUCGUGCUUUGAAGUUUACCUAGAUCUAUAUUUCAAUUGUUGCUAAAGAAUUUGAUGAGUUUUCUAAGCCAAUGUUUUGCUUAAGUCUUGAGUUGUGGAUUCGGUUGAAUGAUUUGCUUACUUGUUGGGAGAAUGAGUAAUCUCAAUGUCUUAAUAUAGUAACUCUAUUAUGCCCUUUGUAAUAUUGGUUUGAUUUGACGGUUUGUUGUCAAAUCGAAGGAUACUAUCUCUAAUUCAUUAAUGUUGAAUGAGAUAGGAAAAUUGACCAAUCUAAUUAUGUUAGAGUUUUUGAAAAUGAGGAAACAACACUUGACAAGGAUUUCACCAGGAAUAAAUAUAUGUGAAAGUAGAACAUUCAAGUUUCUCGACCUUGAGCGAGUUGGAAUCCUAAUCGUAAUUGACUGCACUAACACUAAUUGGAUGUUCUAGAGAUGUGAUUCACAAUAAUUUGGGUCUUUCCUUCAAGUUAACACGACACUUCAAAAGUGGACGAAAGUCGUUUUCCCCCUGUGUCUUUGCUGUCAAAUAUUUAUGACAUGAGCAUAGAUCUCCAGGUUAUUGAGACCACCUCAUUGGGUUAUUGAACCUGCCUCCUGAUGAGAAAGAGCGAUCGUGUACUUUCAAGCUAAAAUGGCUCAAAGAAUGCGUUGACCGAGUUGCUACUUGAUGAAUUUCUUUACUUCAUGUUACCUUAAUGUAGGAUAUUUGAGAUAUGGUUCCAUUUCUUCUAUUUGUAAUUGAAGGUGUAAGAAAUGCAAGUUCUCCAACUUUUGAGCCUAGAACGACUAGACCUCGUUGGGUCUGACAGUAAAACUAUUCUACGCUCUUGAAUAUGGGAAACUUUCCAUUGAUGGAAGAAGAUCACGGGAGCGGAACAAGGAGAAGAAAUGACUAACGAGCUCUUAUUUCCCGGUUAGCAGGAGUUUAGCAAGCUACUGAUGCAUUUUUUUUUAUGAAGCACGCUCGAGAAUCUCCAUUUCUUUGAGAAGUCAACAUUAAAAGCUGUACUGAAAUGAGACGCUUGUCCUAAGAUCCGAGAGUGUACGAGUCUGAGGAAUGGGGGAAAAAUCAAAGAUGCUUAGGCCAAGAUUAUCUAAAUAAAACGGUAUAGAAGAUCUUCAAUUCUAAGGUUUGUGUUGUGCCUCUGUAUAACUAAAUUAUAUUUGUCUCAAUCAUUAAUACGCCCCGCUUUAGUGUUGUAUAACAUGUUCUUUAACUAGUAAAUUCACUUAUUCAGUUAGUUAUUUCUACUUGUCCAAAUAUUUCCAGUUAGAAAUGUGAAGCAUCAAAAUUGUAAUUUCUAGGCAAGUCAUCUCUUUCUUAUUGCAAUCUCUUCUACCAG